AUUGAACGCUGGCGGCAUGCCUUACACAUGCAAGUCGAACGGCAGCACGGGAGCAAUCCUGGUGGCGAGUGGCGAACGGGUGAGUAAAGUAUCGGAACGUGUCCAGUCGUGGGGGAUAACGUAGCGAAAGUUACGCUAAUACCGCAUACGAUCUACGGAUGAAAGCGGGGGAUCGCAAGACCUCGCGCGAUUGGAGCGGCUGAUAUCAGAUUAGGUAGUUGGUGGGGUAAAGGCUCACCAAGCCGACGAUCUGUAGCUGGUCUGAGAGGACGACCAGCCAAGCUGGGGCUGAGACGCGGCCCAGACGCCGACGGGCGGCAGUCGUGGGGAAUUUUGGACCAGGGGCGCAAGCCUGAUCCAGCCAUGCCGCGUGCCGGAUGAAGGCCUUCGGGUUGUAAACUGCUUUUGUACGGAACGAAAAGGUUUGGCCUAAUAAGCUGGACCCAUGACGGUACCGUAAGAAUAAGCACCGGCUAACUACGUGCCAGCAGCCGCAGUAA
rnacentral:rRNA from 1 species